GUUCAAGAGUAGGGUCGAUUUAGAGCUUAAGGAUAUGCUGUAGUUAGAAUCUGUCAGUGCUAGGCGAACAGUUGGAUUAGAUGAUUUUCAAGGUCCUUUCCAACCUAGAUGAUUCUGUGAUUCUGUGA